GCACGAGAUUAGCCGGCCCUUCCUCCUAGGAUCGGUCAAGUUCCGUUCUUCACGGACCCUUCCUCCCCUACGACAGCGGUUUACAACCCGAAGGCCUUCAUCCCGCACGCGGUGUCGCUCGGUCAGGCUUGCGCCCAUUGCCGAAGAUUCUCGACUGCAGCCACCCGUAGGUGUCUGGGCAGUAUCUCAGUCCCAGUGAGUGGGGGCACGCUCUCACGCCCCAUACCCGUUUUUGCCUUGGUAGGCCGUUACCCCACCAACAAGCUGAUAGGCCACAGGCCCCUCCCCAGGUGGAAUCACACCUUUGGUCCGGAGACAUUAUCUGGUAUUACCGGCAGUUUCCCGCCGCUAUCCCAGACCCGGGGGUAGGUACCUAUGUAUUACUCUCCCUUUCGCCGCUCUCCAUGUAUUGCUACAUUUCGCGCACGACUUGCAUGCCUAAUCCACACCGCCAACGUUCAUU
rnacentral:rRNA from 1 species